GAAUAGCAGAAUCAUUAUGCAGCUUCUUGUUUCUUGCUUCCCAUAGUUUGUAAUAGGAGACAACCAAAGUGAGACAUAGGAUAUGUUUUGACAACUUCCUGCCUUGAAAUGAGCAUGUAAAUUCUGUAACACCAGUCCAGUCCAAAGGUAGGUGGUUCCAGUCACCCAAAUUUAAAGCAGUUUGAAUGAUGAUAGAUGAAUAUUCACAGAGGAAGAAUAGAUGAGAGAAAGUUUCAGAAUGAUGAUUACAUAACUGGCAUUGGAUGACUCUUCCCGAGUAUGCUUUUGUUAAGUCAUUUGUCUGAAGUUUUCCCAAAAAUCCCAACCACGGCAUAAAAG
rnacentral:lncRNA from 1 species